CCUACGGGAGGCUGCAGUGAGGAAUAUUGGUCAAUGGACGAGAGCCUGAACCAGCCAAGUAGCGUGAAGGAUGACUGCCCUAUGGGUUGUAAACUUCUUUUAUCAAGGAAUAAAACGAGGCACGUGUGCCUUUUUGCAUGUACUUUAUGAAUAAGGAUCGGCUAACUCCGUGCCAGCAGCCGCGGUAAUACGGAGGAUCCGAGCGUUAUCCGGAUUUAUUGGGUUUAAAGGGUGCGUAGAUGGGUUGUUAAGUCAGUUGUGAAAGUUUGGGGCUCAACCGUCAAAUUGAAGUUGAUACUGGCAGUCUUGAGUACGGUAGAGGUAGGCGGAAUGCGUGGUGUAGCGGUGAAAUGCUUAGAUAUCACGAAGAACCCCGAUUGCGAAGGCAGCAUACUAGACUGGGACUGACAUUGAUGCUCGAAAGUGUGGGUAUCAAACAGGAUUAGAUACCCCAGUAGUC
rnacentral:rRNA from 1 species